CCUACGGGCGGCAGCAGUGAGGAAUAUUGGUCAAUGGACGCAAGUCUGAACCAGCCAUGCCGCGUGCAGGAAGACGGCUCUAUGAGUUGUAAACUGCUUUUGUACGAGGGUAAACGCAGAUACGCGUAUCUGUCUGCAAGUAUCGUACGAAUAAGGAUCGGCUAACUCCGUGCCAGCAGCCGCGGUAAUACGGAGGAUUCAAGCGUUAUCCGGAUUUAUUGGGUUUAAAGGGUGCGUAGGCGGUCGGAUAAGUUAGAGGUGAAAUCCCGAGGCUCAACUUCGGAAUUGCCUCUGAUACUGGUCGGCUAGAGAGUAGUUGCGGUAGGCGGAAUGUAUGGUGUAGCGGUGAAAUGCUUAGAGAUCAUACAGAACACCGAUUGCGAAGGCAGCUUACCAAGCUACAUCUGACGUUGAGGCACGAAAGCGUGGGGAGCAAACAGGAUUAGAUACCCCAGUAGUC
rnacentral:rRNA from 1 species